UACGAAGGGGGCGAGCGUUGUUCGGAUUUACUGGGCGUAAAGGGCGCGCAGGCGGCUUUGUUUGUCAGGCGUGAAAGCCCCGGGCUUAACCUGGGAACUGCGUUUGAUACGGCAGGGCUAGAGUUCGGGAGAGGAGAGUGGAAUUCCCAGUGUAGAGGUGAAAUUCGUAGAUAUUGGGAAGAACACCGGUGGCGAAGGCGGCUCACUGGACCACAACUGACGCUGAUGCACGAAAGCUAGGGGAGCAAACAGG
rnacentral:rRNA from 1 species